GAGCCAGACUCCUACGGGAGGCAGCAGUGAGGAAUAUUGGUCAAUGGACGCAAGUCUGAACCAGCCAAGUCGCGUGAGGGAGUACUGCCCUAUGGGUUGUAAACCUCUUUUGUCGGGGAGCAAAAGCCGGACGUGUCCGGCUGUGAGAGUACCCGAAGAAAAAGCAUCGGCUAACUCCGUGCCAGCAGCCGCGGUAAUACGUAGGGGGCAAGCGUUAUCCGGAUUUACUGGGUGUAAAGGGUGCGUAGGCGGAUUUUUAAGUCAGCGGUAAAAUGUCCGGGCUCAACCCGGGCCGGCCGUUGAAACUGGGGAUCUUGAGUGGGCGAGAAGUAUGCGGAAUGCGUGGUGUAGCGGUGAAAUGCAUAGAUAUCACGCAGAACUCCGAUUGCGAAGGCAGCAUACCGGCGCCCGACUGACGCUGAGGCACGAAAGCGUGGGGAUCGAACAGGAUUAGAUACCCCGGUAU
rnacentral:rRNA from 1 species